rnacentral:rRNA from 1 species
UUCAACUUGAGAGUUUGAUCCUGGCUCAGAACGAACGCUGGCGGCAGGCCUAACAC